rnacentral:rRNA from 1 species
GGUUUAAGCGUGUAGGUGUGUGUUCCAGGUAAAUCCGGUUCACUUUAACACUGAGGCGUGACGACGAGGCACUACGGUGCUGAAGCAACAAAUGCCCUGCUUCCAGGAAAAGCCUCUAAGCAUCAGGUAACACGAAAUCGUACCCCAAACCGACACAGGUGGUCAGGUAGAGAAUACCAAGGCGCUUGAGAGAACUCGGGUGAAGGAACUAGGCAAAAUGGUGCCGUAACUUCGGGAGAAGGCACGCUGACACGUAGGUGAAGUGAUUUACUCAUGGAGCUGAAGUCAGUCGAAGAUACCAGCUGGCUGCAACUGUUUAUUAAAAACACAGCACUGUGCAAACACGAAAGUGGACGUAUACGGUGUGACGCCUGCCCGGUGCCGGAAGGUUAAUUGAUGGGGUCAGCGCAAGCGAAGCUCCUGAUCGAAGCCCCGGUAAACGGCGGCCGUAACUAUAACGGUCCUAAGGUAGCGAAAUUCCUUGUCGGGUAAGUUCCGACCUGCACGAAUGGCGUAAUGAUGGCCAGGCUGUCUCCACCCGAGACUCAGUGAAAUUGAACUCGCUGUGAAGAUGCAGUGUACCCGCGGCAAGACGGAAAGACCCCGUGAACCUUUACUAUAGCUUGACACUGAACAUUGAGCCUUGAUGUGUAGGAUAGGUGGGAGGCUUUGAAGUGUGGACGCCAGUCUGCAUGGAGCCGACCUUGAAAUACCACCCUUUAAUGUUUGAUGUUCUAACGUGGACCCGUAAUCCGGGUUGCGGACAGUGUCUGGUGGGUAGUUUGACUGGGGCGGUCUCCUCCUAAAGAGUAACGGAGGAGCACGAAGGUUGGCUAAUCCUGGUCGGACAUCAGGAGGUUAGUGCAAUGGCAUAAGCCAGCUUGACUGCGAGCGUGACGGCGCGAGCAGGUGCGAAAGCAGGUCAUAGUGAUCCGGUGGUUCUGAAUGGAAGGGCCAUCGCUCAACGGAUAAAAGGUACUCCGGGGAUAACAGGCUGAUACCGCCCAAGAGUUCAUAUCGACGGCGGUGUUUGGCACCUCGAUGUCGGCUCAUCACAUCCUGGGGCUGAAGUAGGUCCCAAGGGUAUGGCUGUUCGCCAUUUAAAGUGGUACGCGAGCUGGGUUUAGAACGUCGUGAGACAGUUCGGUCCCUAUCUGCCGUGGGCGCUGGAGAACUGAGGGGGGCUGCUCCUAGUACGAGAGGACCGGAGUGGACGCAUCACUGGUGUUCGGGUUGUCAUGCCAAUGGCACUGCCCGGUAGCUAAAUGCGGAAGAGAUAAGUGCUGAAAGCAUCUAAGCACGAAACUUGCCCCGAGAUGAGUUCUCCCUGAGACUUAGAGUCUCCUGAAGGAACGUUGAAGACGACGACGUUGAUAGGCCGGGUGUGUAAGCGCAGCGAUGCGUUGAGCUAACCGGUACUAAUGAACCGAG